rnacentral:lncRNA from 1 species
AGACAAUUCUCACUCUCUUCUUAAGUAAUAAAAAAUGGCAAGUCUUUUGCCUCCUUCAAAAAUGUUAUGCUAUUAAAGAAUAGAGUAGCUUGGCAUCAUUGUAGAUUUCGAUAGUUCCAUUCACCGAAUUAUUUUUGCCUAUUUAAAUGUUUGGAAUAGCACACUUUUUCAUAUUUUCACGGCUGUUUUUCCUCACUAAAUCAAAUAAAAUAUAUUCCAUAGUUUAGGAAUCACAAACUUAGCCUUUCUAUAGCUAUUUUCCACAUCAAAUUGUAAGAUAAUUUAGCAUUUCAACAGUCACAAACUUAGCCUCAAACUAACUAAUUUCUAACCCUUCCCGUUCUCAACUGAGUAGAGGGUUGUUACAUGAUGAGUUCUUUUGGUUUUGUGUCGUCUGUAACCAAACCUUUAGAGAUGUAAUGGCGGAACAUUAAAAUGCCAUGAUAUUAGGGAGAUAACCAAAAUCAACAAAACAGGAAAUAAUUCCGCAAUGUCGCCAUCCCAGUCUUGUUGUCGCUCUCCUUGUUUGUUUCAUAUAUUGAUACAUCAUACAUCUACAAUGAUGCAAUGUCAAAUCAACAUGAAAAUCCAGAUGUUGAGAAUCAAAAUUUGAAUUCUUUUGUGCAUGUCAUGGUUCAUGUUGUAUUUCAGAGACUUGCUUAAUGAUUUAUUGGUAAGGCCCUUAUUCUCUCACACACAAAGAUAGGGACAACAGUGGGAAGUUGAGAGUGGUCAAUGUGGGAUAGAGGAGGGGGUAUAAGUGUUAUUCAUUCAUUUGGCAAACGCUUACGGGCUGAAAGGAAGCAACAUUCGUGCAACACCUUUAUUAUAUUACAAGAAAACAUAAACAUAUACUUCUGCAUAACAUGUGAACUGUAGUGCCGAACCAUUCACUGACUUUAUUCUUCUGGCCCUUUUAACUAGUAGCUCCCUAUUCUCCGAGAGAGAAGGCCGCCGCAUCAUGGGUGUCAGACAGACCGGUGUCGGUCUUGACGGUGACCUUAUCAGCAGAAGACUCAUCCACAUAGACCUCGACCAAAGACAUGUCCUCGAUCUUGACCCCGGUGACCUUCUUCAUCUUGCCCUUCUCCACAAAAGAGGUCACCUCGGUGUCGUAGGAGACGGUCUGGUUGAUCUUCUUGAAGGUGUGCUCGUUCUUCUUCUUCUGAAGCAUCCACACAAACCCACUCUCACAGUUGUGCCCGACCUCCUCGAUGUCAUCCAUAGGAAAGAGGCCUUUCGGGAGGCUGAGUUCUUCGAGAAGCUCGACCGUCUUCUGCUUGCAGAUAUCGUUCCCCUUGUGGACCUCGGCGCCGGCGCGGUGGCUCUCGACAAGCUGGGACGCCAUUUUGGGGAAGUGGGUUUUAAUUUGCUGGAUUGGUAGAUGAGCUUGUUGAACGUGAUAGAUCAGGAUCUGAUGGUGCUGCCUUAUAUAGUUGUUGCAAGUUGUACUGGCUGCAAAGAGCCUCUUCGAAGGUGCUACGCGUGCGCCAGCCAAGUGAGACCGGCAACUCUCCUCUGUGGAAUUCCUCUUCAGAUGCUUCUGUUUUGAGGAAGAAAAAUGAACGUCUCCCCUUUGGAGUUAGAUCAUUACGUCCAGCCAUAUCUGACCAUUGAAAUGCCUUAUGCUGAACUCCACAGCAGAACACUCUGAGUUGAGCUGGUCACGGAUGACUUAAUUGACCAUUGCGUAUAUUGGUGUGCCAUCGCAGCUGCGGGUGGAAGCAAUGUGCUUGCCACAGUUCUGCAAGAAGGAAACACAGUCCAACAACAGGUUCUGUGUUGAAGUCAGUUGGACAUGUACCUCUCUAAUUUCUGUUGUAACCAUCCUCCGGUGCUCAUGUUAUAUGGGUUAGGUUGUAUUAUUUUUAACCCGUUUUUUCGUUAGUUAAGCGGGCAUUCCUCACUCUCUUCUUAAUGAAAAUAACAAGUCUUCUGCCUCGUUAUAAACUUAUAUGCUAUUAAAGAAUAGACUAGCUUGGCAUCAUCGUAGAUUUUGGAAGUUCCAUUCACCGAUUAUUUUUGCCUAUUUAAAUAUUUGGGAUAGCUUGUUUUUGCAUAUUCAUGGCUGUUUUUCCUCACUAAAUUAAAAAAGAACUUAGUUUAGCAAUCACAAACUUAGUCUUUUUAUAAGUAUUUCCCCAUCAAAUUGUAAGGUAAUUUAGCAUGCAUUUCAACGGUCACAAACUUAGCCUCGAACUAACUAAUUUCCAACCCUUCCCGUUCUCAACUGAGUAGAGGGUUGUGGCAUGAUCAGUUCUUUACGUUUUGUGUUGUCUGUAACCUAACCUUUAGAGAUGUAACGGGGGAACAUUAAAAAUGUUGUGAGCAACUUGUUUUCACAUCAACCUGAACUUAGAAUUAGAAAGUACUCUAAUCCUCAACCAUAGCAGUAGGAGUUUUUCUCUGUGUUGGUUUUGUCUUUUUUUUACUAGUUCUUAAAUUUUGGCUAGUUUUGGCUUGCUCUAGUUUCUGCUUUUGUCUUCUUUUUUCCCUUUGCAUUUUCUCAGCAAUCUUUCAACACAAGGAAAAAAAAGACAAGAACUUGUUUUCGAAUAAAAAUAUGUGUCUAAGAAAAAUGUUUUCCACAUCGAUCUGAACCAUAAAUGUGGAAAUAAACUCCGAUGAUUUGAUAUUAGCGAGAAAAUUAAAAUCAACAAAACAGGAAAUUAUUCCACAAUGUUUCCAUUCAAGCCUGGCUGUCAAUCUUUUUUUUUUUGAGACACUGAUAUAGCAUACAUCUAAAAUUAUGAAAUGUUAAAAUCAACAUGAAAAUCUAUAUAUAGAGAAUCAAAAUAAGAUUUCUUCUGUGCAUGUCAUGGUUCAUGUUGUAUUUCAAAGCCUUGCAUAAUUAUUUGUUAAUAAGGCCCUUAUUCUCUCAGACACAAAGAUAGGGACAACAGUGGGAAGUUGAGAGUGGUCGAUGAGGGAUAAGUGUUAUUCAUUACAUUUGGCGUAUGCUUACGGGCCGAAAGGAAGCAACAUUCAUGCAGCAUCCUUUAUUACAUUACAAAGAAAACAGAAACAUAAAUUUCUGCAUAACAUGGGCUGAAAGGAAGCAACAUUCAUGCAACAACCUUUAUGAGAUUACAAAGAAAACGGAAACAUAUAUUUCUGCAUAACAUGUGAACUGUAGUGCCGAACCAUUCACAGACUUUAUUCUUCUGGCCUUUUUAACUAGUAGCUCCCUAUUCUCCGGGAGCGAACACGGCCGCAUCAUGGGUGUCAGACAGACCGGUGUUGGUCUUGACGGUGACCUUAUCAGCAGAAGACUCAUCCACAUAGACCUCGACCAAAGACACCUCCUCGAUCUUGACCCCGGUGACCUUCUUCAUCUUGCCCUUCUCCACAAAAGCGGUCACCUCGGUGUCAUAGGAGACGGUCUGGUUGAGCUUGUUGAAGGUGUGCUCGUUCUUCUUCUUCUGAAGCAUCCACACAAACCCACUCUCACAGUUGUGCCCGACCUCCUCGAUGUCAUCCAUAGGAAAGAGGCCUUUUGGGA